CUUUGUAAGAAGCUUGAUUUGGAUACAUAAAGUGGUGGAGAAUCACCAGGAAAUUGUAUAAAUCUCAUAGGAGUUGGGAUGAAGAAGUUAUCCCACUUUCAAAUCAGGUGAUUCAGUUUCCCAGUUUGGGAAUAGGACAGCUUCUUCGUCGUUCCAAUCAAACCAGGCUGAAUCACUUUGAAAGAAGCUUGAUUUGGAUACAUAAAGUGGUGGAGAAUCACCAGGAAGUUGUAUAAAUGUCAUAGUAGUUCGGAUGAACAAGUUAUCCCACUUUCAAAUCAGGUGAUUCAAGUUUCCCAGUUUAGGAAUAGGACAGCUUCUUCGUCGUUCCAAUCAAACCAGGAUGAAUCACUUUGUAAGAAGCUUGAUUUGGAUACAUAAAGUGGUGGAGUAUCACCAGGAAGUUGAAUAAAUCUCAUAGGAGUUGGGAUGAAGAAGUUAUCCCACUUUCAAAUCAGGUGAUUCCAGUUUCCCAGUUUGGGAAUAAGACAGCUUCUUCGUCAUUCCAAUCACACCAGGAUGAAUCACUUUGUAAGAAGCUUGAUUUGGAUACAUAAAGUGGUGGAGAAUUACCAGGAAGUUGUAUAAAUGUCAUAGGAAUUGGGAUGAAGAAGUUAUCCCACUUUCAAAUCAGGUGAUUCCAGUUUCCCAGUUUAGGAAUAGGACAGCUUCUUCGUCGUUCCAAUCAAACCAGGAUGAAUCACUUUGUAAGAAGCUUGAUUUGGAUACAUAAAGUGGUGGAGUAUCACCAGGAAGUUGAAUAAAUCUCAUAGGAGUUGGGAUGAAGAAGUUAUCCCACUUUCAAAUCAGGUGAUUCCAGUUUCCCAGUUUGGGAAUAAGACAGCUUCUUCGUCAUUCCAAUCACACCAGGAUGAAUCACUUUGUAAUAAUCUUGAUUUGGAUACAUAAAGUGGUGGAGAAUUACCAGGGAGUUGUAUAAAUGUCAUAGGAAUUGGGAUGAAGAAGUUAUCCCACUUUCAAAUCAGGUGAUUCCAUUUUCCCAUGUUGGGAACAGGAAAACUUCUUCGUCGUUCCAAUCAAACCAGGCUGAAUCACGUUGAAAGAAGCUUGAUUUGGAUACAUAAAGUGGUGGAGAAUCACCAGGAAGUUG